AGCUUUUUUCGCGUCGGAACUCGACCCAAAACGUCGGAAAUGAUCCGAUUCAUCGAUGAAUACCGGAAUCGUUUCUCCGUCGAGUUCAUCUGUAAGACGUUGAAGAAUAACCGGG
rnacentral:ncRNA from 1 species